rnacentral:snoRNA from 1 species
UUCGCUGAUGAACGAAAACACACAACUACGAAUUUCUUCACCUGAACCACCGUGUAGAACAAAAUUUUUCAGAGCUUUUUAACACUGAGA